rnacentral:lncRNA from 1 species
UUAGAUAAAAGUGUUUGAAAAUCCAUCAGUAACCCUAGAGCAACUUUAUCUUCUUCGUACCCCCUGUCCCUCCACCGUCUGCCGGAAAUCGUCUCCGCCGGCGGCGAUGCUCCAAACCUCACCAAAACUACACCUUAGGUUCCCCUCUUCCUCCUCUUUCCAUAUCUAACCUUAGUUUCCCUUAAAUCCUCAAAAGUUUCGAAUAUCAAAUCGGAAAAUUCGGCCAAAACACAAACUCGUCCAAUCGAUCCGAAAUCGAUACCAGAUAGUCUCUUAACCUUCCUCAACUCGAAUCCUUGAUCAAAACCCCUCUAAUCCCUCCAAGACUUCUCGAAUUUUGGAUCCAGGGUUUUUGUCAAGAGUUACUGGAAUUUCUAGGGUUAGCUCGGGCUCAUAUGGUUUUUAAAUUAUAUUAUUUGUUUGUUCUUGGUAAGAGCAAACACAUAAUAUUAUUUGAAGAUCAAUUGUGAAAUUAGCCGAGUUGGGUGCUCAAAACCAGUAAGUUGCUCAUUUUUCCUUUGUUAAAUUAUCCUCUCCAUGGCAGCUUUGCUUCAUUAAUUGAUUCUGUGUUAUCUAUUUGGAGUCAGUAAUCAAAAUCGUUUUUGAUUGUGUCAUUUUGAUUUGAAGUCAGUUGAAUGCUAACAUGAAUCUAUCUAUCUAAUUUUCGCACUCGCUUAAGUAUAGUUCUUGUUGAUUAAUCCAUAGUUAGUUUUCUAGGAUUCAGCUCAAAUUAUGUUUUUCGUCUUUAGUCAGUAAUGUUCUUCCUCAGUGGGUUGAUCCUGUUUCAUGAUUGACUGAUUCCGUUUCAUUUUAGUUUUCAUUAGAUUUGAUUCUCUGUUAGCUUGAUUCAAUUUUGUUAUUGGAUAAUCUGAUCUUUUUUUAAUUCUUGGAAUGAUUUGGGUAGUAAGUGAGUGUGGUUAGUAUAGGUUCAAUUUCGUUUAAGGUGGCUUUGUUCGGUUGAUUCUCGUUAAGUAUUGCUGAUCUUUAUCUUUGUCAGUAUUUGAUUUGUGACGUUUUAAUUCAGCCCAAUUGGGCUUAUUCUGUAAGUAUCAUUGUGUAAUAAAGUAGCUCAUUUGGUCUUUAGGCUUAGCUUAGGAUGAUUGGAUGCAGUUGAAUCUAGUUAACCCAUCCAAACUCCUCUUUUCUUUCAAUUUCUGUUAGCAUUUUAAAUCCAAUACUCAAAAAAUACAAACAAAAAAAUCAUAAAAUUAGAAAACAAAAAAAAAAUGAAAAAUAGAUACUGUUUCGUUGAGCAUUUUGCAGAUUUAAUGCUAUUCACUGUUAUUUUUCUUCGUAGUCUUAUAGUUUCUGUUAAAUUCUGAGUUUACAAAAGUGAUGUAGUCUGGUUCAAGUGAUUCCACCUCUGUUGGGUUUAAAUUUGGGUUGAUUUUGGAGUUUUGGUCUUGUUUUGGUCAUUGGACGUGUACUGGCAUUAUCCUGAGGCUACAUUUCUAUGUGUUAAGUUCAAUUGAAUCCCCUGAUUUGAGUAACUACUGUUGUUUUUGGUUUUCAAACCUCUUUUGGGUUAUAAAUUGAUUCCCUGGGCUGUGCAUGGUUGCUACUCGCAUAUCUGCUGGUUUGUUGAUAUAGUGCUGCUGCUGAGUUUCCUUUUCUGUGGCAAAUUCCAUUUCCAGGUAACAUUUUGAACUCAUUGCAAUGUAAUUGUGAGCUGAAAGAUAAAAUAAAGAAGUCUCAUGGAUUUUCCGUGAUUAUGAGUGCCUCCUGUUGACUGCUUCAUAGCUAUGUUAAUGUUGUAGUUUCAAUUGAUUUUAUAUAAAUUCUAUCGCAGUUGUAAGGUUAUAGAAUUAGGAUACUGGCAGUUUGCUUGGAAUUGGUUUAAACUGGGAUUACUAUCAAGCUAUAGGGACUGUGUUAACUAGAACAUUAAUUGUGAUCUGUUUAAUCCUGGACCUUACAGCUUUCAUUUGAAAUCCUGUGUUAAUUGUUAUAUUGUCGUUAUUUCCAGCUUACUGUGCAUUUAAAAGUAAUUGAUUUCAGGCCAGAUUGAAAGGCGUUUCGUAAAUAAAAUAAACACUGUUUGGUUCAUGUGAGUAAUAGGGUAUAAUAUUAAUACCAUGUUUAAUUGAUUGCAAGAAUUUGUAGAGUUUGUCUCAAACAGUUGAUACGUUUCUGUUUGUGAAUCACGCCCAAUUGAAUUGUCAUGCUAUUUGAGGGUUCAAUGUAAGUCAAUAAGUAAAAUAAUUGGGAUGCGAACUCAGCCCCUUAUCGUUUUGCACAUCUGGACUCGUUGAGAGUCUAUUCUAUCAAUCGUUAUUUGCUCUUUGGGAUAUCGGAUCCCCAAGAACCUUUGGGCUGUGUAACGUGAACUGAAAUCCCCAGUCCCAUAACAUGUAUUUGGAAAUUGGGUUUGGGCUAAACGUUACUCAGAAUUUGGUCAUGCCUUGUAUGUCGUUUGAUUUGAGUUGGUUGGGCUAGGGAUUAAAUGACUACUGAUUCGUUAGUUCUUUUUGAGUGACACAUUUGGUCUUCGAAUUAGGUAGCGGGUUCAAGCUAAAAGUCACUCCCUUCUGUUUGGACCCGGGCUUAAAUUUGAAGCUCGACCUUUCUAAUAAUAAUAAUCAGUUAGGAUUUUUCUUUUCUUUUAG